ensembl:lncRNA
GAAGCUUCCGUGUUUAAGAAGACCUUGAUGGGAGAAAUGUGCUAUUUAACUAGACACCAAUAACAAAAAAAAAGUUAAAUUUUUAUUGUGAUCUGAGGCAAGACUGACCUGGGAACUUCUCUGAACUUCAGAGAGGAAAAGGGGAAGAGGAGGCAGUGUGAAUUGUACCUACAUUUUCCAUCUUCAGAUCUUUACAUGUGUUUUGAGGCAUAAGAAGACAAGGAGGUUUCAUAGAAACGUUUUAGAUGUUUUGUAAACUGUCGCUUAAGCUCCUUACUGGCUUGGGUUUGUUAAGUGGGUUAUGAUUUUAGGGGAUUUUUUUUCCCCUGUAAAUACUAUAACCUGUGGAGAUGUUUUAAUGAACAUUUUGAGUAUAUUCUUAUCUAGCAGUUCCUUGAUUCUCAAUGUGGUUGUUUUGCACAGUAAAUAGAUUAGCAGAAAAUAGAGAAUUGCUAUUUCAUAUCUAUUAUGCCAUGCCUUUUUUCACUGAGAAGCAAACCUCAGAUUGGGGUAGCAUUUAAAACUCAUUUGGAAUAUUUUAAUAUUCAUUUCCUAAGGUUUUUGUUUGGUUGGUUGGUUAGGUUUUUUUUUUUUACAAAACACUUCACUGGGAAAAUUUGUAUGUGUGGGGUGGGGGCAGGGGACAGAACAAUAGAAAACCCAAGCUCUGCCUUCUGUAUUCUCUGAAUCAAUGAGUUAUUAUAAAGACAAUAUUCAGUAGCAGGAAAUUAGGAGUAGUUUAAGGCUAACAUGUAUCUACAUGGAUUUCCCCCACCACCAAACUGUAAAUGAAAUUCCGGGAAGAACCAACAGAAGUACUUUAGAAAGCAGACAUGAGAUGAACCCCUUAGUCUUCUGAAUUCAGACCGACUUAGUUUAAAGGAAAAAUAUGGCAUUUUUGCCUAUCCAGAAACCAGUGGUUUUUUCUUGAUUUUCUUCACAUCACAAAUCUCAGAAGCUGUGUUUUGUUAGCUCAGUUCCACAGAAUAUUCAUAUAAUUAGGUAACAUCAUUCAAACCCUUAAAGAUGGAGAAAGUGCUGUUUCCCUCCCUCAAGCUACAAUCUAACAGGGCUAUUUGGCAGCAUGCUGGCCACCUUUGGACUUUGCUUCAGCCAAAGGCGAUAUCAAAGACCUGGUUGCCUGGAGAAGAAUAAAGUUAUAUUAUUUAUAUUUUGAAGGCAGCAUCCAGUUUCCAUGACCAGCCGAGCCUUGUUAAGGAAAUCUGUGUCUCAUGCCACUCAGAGAUGGCUCGAAUCGCCUGUCAGGAGACGUCUAGGCAGCCUUGUAAACUCAGAAUGACUUCUCAAAUCCUGCUAGGAUUUCCCAGCGAUGUGCUUUCCUCUGCGCCGAAGCCCUGGGAGUCGUGUCAGCCCAAGGGGUAAAUGUAUUUUGCAACCUCCCUGUGGUCACACAACCAUCUCCCAGCUCAGUCAUUUGAUGACCAGUCUAGCUUUUAAGAUUCCAGGCAGAAGAGAAAACUGAGAGCCCUGAAACUCAUCGUAAGGUCCCACAAAGGUCACAAGGAGGGAAAAAAAGUAAUUAGAUUCAGUUUUGAGGAAUUUUCACGCAGAGGAAUCCAAGACAAACAGCAGAUUCUGGGGAGGCAGAUGAAGGGUGGUGCAGAGACAGUAUACUAAGCAGGUGCACAUUUUGGAAAGACAGUAGCAAGGUGAGAUGUGCUGUGCUCCUGAUAAGCAGAUGUUUAAGUUUUUGCACUAAAAAAGAAGAGUUUUCCACUUGUAAUCCAACUUUAAUUAAGAACUUGGGAGAGAUUGGUUUCUUUUUUGCUUGAAGUAAUGGGACACUUUGGGAAAUUUCAGAUGCCUGACCUAAAGACUUCUCCCUCUCCAAGACAGAGAAUAAAAU